AUCUAAGAGAUUAGACGUUCCCUUCGGGGACAUGGAUACAGGUGGUGCAUGGUUGUCGUCAGCUCGUGUCGUGAGAUGUUGGGUUAAGUCCCGCAACGAGCGCAACCCUUAUUGUCAGUUGCCAGCAUUAAGUUGGGCACUCUGGCAAGACUGCCGGUGACAAAACGGAGGAAGGUGGGGAUGACGUCAAAUCAUCAUGCCCCCUUAGACCUGGGCUUCACACCUGCCUUACAUGGGACAAUACAACGAUGUCGCUUACCCGCGAGGUUUAAACUUACCUCCAAAAAUUCAUUUACUCAUUUCGAUUGUCAGGCUGCAAACUCCGCCUUGCAUGAGAAUCCGAAAUCCGCUAGAUAAUACUUCGGAUCAAACAUUGCCCGCGGUAGAAUUAAGUUUCCCCGUGGUCUUUGUAUCCACACCCUUAUCUGA
rnacentral:rRNA from 1 species